UACGAAGGGGGCUAGCGUUGCUCGGAAUUACUGGGCGUAAAGGGCGCGUAGGCGGAUAGUUUAGUCAGAGGUGAAAGCCCAGGGCUCAACCUUGGAACUGCCUUUGAUACUGGCUAUCUUCGAGUUCGGGAGAGGUGAGUGGAAUGCCGAGUGUAGAGGUGAAAUUCGUAGAUAUUCGGCGGAACACCAGUGGCGAAGGCGACUCACUGGCCCGAUACUGACGCUGAGGCGCGAAAGCGUGGGGAGCAAACAGG
rnacentral:rRNA from 1 species